rnacentral:rRNA from 1 species
UACGUAGGGGGCAAGCGUUGUCCGGAAUCAUUGGGCGUAAAGAGCGUGUAGGCGGCCAGAUAAGUCCGCUGUGAAAUCUCGAGGCUCAACUUCGAGCUGUCGGUGGAAACUGUCUGGCUAGAGUCCGGAAGAGGAGAAUGGAAUUCCCGGUGUAGAGGUGAAAUUCGUAGAUAUUGGGAAGAACACCGGUGGCGAAGGCGGCGACCUGGUCCGAUACUGACGCUGAGGCGCGAAAGCGUGGGGAGCAAACAGG